rnacentral:rRNA from 1 species
UACAGAGGUCCCGAGCGUUGUUCGGAUUCACUGGGCGUAAAGGGUGCGUAGGUGGCAGUGUAAGUCUGAUGUGAAAGCUUCGAGCUUAACUCGAAAAUGGCAUUGGAUACUAUAUUGCUGGAGGUUUGGAGGGGGGACUGGAAUUCUCGGUGUAGCAGUGAAAUGCGUAGAUAUCGAGAGGAACACCGGUGGCGAAGGCGAGUCCCUGGACAACACCUGACACUGAGGCACGAAAGCUAGGGGAGCAAACAGG